AUUGAGCGCUGGCGGCAUGCCUUACACAUGCAAGUCGAACGGUAACAGGUCUUCGGAUGCUGACGAGUGGCGAACGGGUGAGUAAUACAUCGGAACGUGCCUAGUAGUGGGGGAUAACUACUCGAAAGAGUGGCUAAUACCGCAUGAGAUCUACGGAUGAAAGCAGGGGAUCGCAAGACCUUGUGCUACUAGAGCGGCCGAUGGCAGAUUAGGUAGUUGGUGGGAUAAAAGCUUACCAAGCCGACGAUCUGUAGCUGGUCUGAGAGGACGAUCAGCCACACUGGGACUGAGACACGGCCCAGACUCCUACGGGAGGCAGCAGUGGGGAAUUUUGGACAAUGGGCGCAAGCCUGAUCCAGCCAUGCCGCGUGUCUGAAGAAGGCCUUCGGGUUGUAAAGGACUUUUGUCCGGGAGCAAAUGCCUGGUGUUAAUAGCACUGGGAGCUGAGAGUACCGGAAGAAUAAGCACCGGCUAACUACGUGCCAGCAGCCGCCGCAGUAA
rnacentral:rRNA from 1 species